rnacentral:misc_RNA from 1 species
GAUGAAGAACGCAGCGAAAUGCGAUAGGUAAUGUGAAUUGCAGAAUUCAGUGAAUCAUCGAAUCUUUGAACGCACAUUGCGCCCUGUGGUAUUCCGCAGGGCAUGCCUGUUCGAGCGUCAUUUCAACCCUCAAGCUCUGCUUGGUGUUGGGCCCUGCCCGCUGCGGCCGGCCCUAAAGACAGUGGCGGUGCCGCCUGGCCCUGAGCGUAGUACAUCUCUCGCUCCAGUGCCCGGUGGUAGCCUGCCAGAACCCCAACUCUCGUGGUUGACCUCGGAUCAGGUAGGGAUACCCGCUGAACUUAAGCAUAUCAAUAAGCGGAGGA